rnacentral:misc_RNA from 1 species
GAUGAAGAACGUAGCGAAAUGCGAUAAGUAAUGUGAAUUGCAGAAUUCAGUGAAUCAUCGAAUCUUUGAACGCAUCUUGCGCUCCUUGGUAUUCUGGGGAGCAUGCCUGUUUGAGUGUCAUUAAAUUCUCAACCGCACUGACUUUGAAUUGGUGUGGCUUGGAUUUGGGGGGAAAAUUGUUGUGGGCUUUUUUGUAUAGUCUGCUCCCCUGAAAUUGAUUAGCGGUACCUUUGUGGAACUGUCUACAGGUGUGAUAAUUAUCUACAUCCUAGACAUCUGCUGGAAUGCUGCUUUCUAAACCUUACUUGUAUUGACAAUCUUGACCUCAAAUCAGGUAGGACUACCCGCUGAACUUAAGCAUAUCAAUAAGCGGAGGA